CUGGAUAGGAUUUUCUGCUAAUGAUGAAUGUAUUGGCAUUUGAUUGUGUCGUAUAUAGCCUAUUGGUGUUGGUGCAGAGCUGACUUAAUUUAAAAUCUUUUCCAUUCCAUUCAGUUUUAGGUGAUUUUUAGUUUCAACGCAGAUAACUGUAUCAGUGGGUGCAUCUGCCUUAAUAUACUUUCUUUAUUUAUUGCAAAAUGGUAGCUGUGGAAAAUUUCUCUACUUCAUUUAUAGUAUGGAUCUAUUAU
rnacentral:lncRNA from 1 species